rnacentral:rRNA from 1 species
UACGUAGGGGGCGAGCGUUGUCCGGAGUUACUGGGCGUAAAGCGCACGCAGGCGGUCUGCUAAGUUUGGAGUGACAGUUGUUGGCUUAACUGCCAAAGUGCUUCGAAAACUGACAGACUUGAGGGCUUCAGCGGGACACGGAAUUCCGGGUGGAGUGGUGAAAUGCGUAGAGAUCCGGAGGAACACCAAAGGCGAAGGCAGUGUCCUGGGGAGUACCUGACGCUCAGGUGCGAAAGCCAGGGGAGCGAACGGG